GAUGAACGCUGGCGGCGUGCUUAACACAUGCAAGUCGAACGAAGCUGCCCAAAGGAAGUUUUCGGAUGGAAUUUAGGUAGACUUAGUGGCGGACGGGUGAGUAACGCGUGGAUAACCUGCCUUAUACAGGGGGAUAACGGAGAGAAAUUUCCGCUAAGACCGCAUAAGACCACAGCACCGCAUGGUGAAGGGGUAAAAUAUUUAUAGGUAUAAGAUGGAUCCGCGUCCGAUUAGCUUGUUGGUGAGGUAGAGGCUCACCAAGGCGACGAUCGGUAGCCGGCCUGAGAGGGUGAACGGCCACAUUGGGACUGAGACACGGCCCAAACUCCUACGGGAGGCAGCAGUGGGGAAUAUUGGACAAUGGGGGGAACCCUGAUCCAGCGACGCCGCGUGAGUGAAGAAGUAUUUCGGUAUGUAAAGCUCUAUCAGCAGGGAAGAAAAUGACGGACCUGACUAAGAGC
rnacentral:rRNA from 1 species